GAUGAACGCUGGCGGCGUGCCUAAUACAUGCAAGUCGAGCGAACGGACGAGAAGCUUGCUUCUCUGAUGUUAGCGGCGGACGGGUGAGUAACACGUGGAUAACCUACCUAUAAGACUGGGAUAACUUCGGGAAACCGGAGCUAAUACCGGAUAAUAUUUUGAACCGUGUGGUAAAAAAGAAAAAGGGGGUCUCGGUCACUCAUAUAGAUAGCUCCGCGCUGCAUUAGCUAGUUGGUAAGGUAACGGCUUACCAAGGCAACGAUGCAUAGCCGACCUGAGAGGGUGAUCGGCCACACUGGAACUGAGACACGGUCCAGACUCCUACGGGAGGCAGCAGUAGGGAAUCUUCCGCAAUGGGCGAAAGCCUGACGGAGCAACGCCGCGUGAGUGAUGAAGGUCUUCGGAUCGUAAAACUCUGUUAUUAGGGAAGAACAUAUGUGUAAGUAACUGUGCACAUCUUGACGGUACCUAAUCAGAAAGCCACGGCUAACUACGUG
rnacentral:rRNA from 1 species